AAAAAAAAAAAUAUAUAUUGUUCGUUGGAACAUUAUCUAAAGAAUUUUUUUUAUUUAACUAUACGAAACACCGUAAUAAAUAACCCAACCUUUCCUUUGUCAAAGUAUUUUUAUUGUCCAUUCCUAGUUACAUGCAAUAAACAGCAACGGUAGUUUAAAUGAUUAAUUAAAGACAAGAACAAACUUGUAUUAUAAAAAUGUGCGUAUAAAACGUUUCACUCAACCAUACAAGCCAUAAGUUUAUCCAGUGUCCAACUGUUAGUAUCUAACCCAGUGUUUUAAAAGUCUUUAAGGCAUAAGUUUAUUCAGUGUCAGACUGUUAGUAUCCAACCCAGUGUUUUAAAAGUCUACUUAUUAAACACUUACUAAGAUCGACCAGUGGUGUGAAACAACAUUUAUUCAUCAUGGAGAAUUCACCGAAUGAUGAAUAUACUUUAAAGCACUUCUAUUACCCACUCAAUAUAUCAGAUGAUCAAGAUAUGAGUGACAAUAACAAGACCGCAAUGAGAAGGAGCAACAGUAUAGAUGCUUUUUUUGAAAAGCAAAAGAAAAAGAAGAGACAGUCAAAGUCUUCAUGUGUAGCGCAAGCAAGUGACGGGGGCCUAUCAUAUAUCUCAUCCAACGACGAUGACAGUAUCAGUGCAACACAUCUAAUCAAAAUAGACAUCUAUGACAUGAAGAGAAUUAAAGAUGUUUCGCCUCUUGAAUACUGGAAAUAUGCAGAUUUGCGAUUAAAGUACUACGUUGAAUCUGCUGGUGAUAAGCACUAUCAAAGCAUGCGAGAUAUUAUAUACAACAUUACAAAGCAAAUCGCUGGGAAGCAUGACUGUAAAAAAUACUUUAUUGACAGAGAUAACCAGAAACAAUAAGUAUUCUCUGAACCAGCGGUCGGUAAACAUCACAAAGUAAAAAGACCCUCUAUACGAACCCAUGAAAACUUAAGUGCUUAUUACCUGUAUUUUAAAAAUAUUUUUCUUUAUCUAUUUGCUAUCCCCACUGCUUCAUGCAAGCGAAACUAAUAUAAAAGCUAUCCUUUUUCUUAAAUGUACUUCAUAUUCUAAGUUACCACACAAAACUGCACAAUGACUGUCGAACUCAACGACUUUGUUUACGAAGAAGAAAUGGUUGAGCUAUGUCAAGCAGCGGAAGUUGAAUUUGACUUAGUGAACCUGUGUAUACAAGUAGAAACCGAUCAAGCUGCUUUAUCAAGACAAAGUGGAGGAGGUGUAAAAAGAAAAAUUGCUGUCACAAAAUAUUCUUCGAGUAAGCGUCCAUUUUCUCAAGAGCCUUCAA